AACGAACGCUGGCGGCAUGCCGAACACAUGCAAGUCGAACGAGAUCUUCGGGUCUAGUGGCGCACGGGUGCGUAACGCGUGGGAAUCUGCCCUUUGGUUCGGAAUAACAGUUGGAAACGACUGCUAAUACCGGAUGAUGACGAAAGUCCAAAGAUUUAUCGCCAGAGGAUGAGCCCGCGUAGGAUAGCUAGUUGGUGUGGUAAAGGCGCACCAAGGCGACGAUCCUUAGCUGGUCUGAGAGGAUGAUCAGCCACACUGGGACUGAGACACGGCCCAGACUCCUACGGGAGGCAGCAGUGGGGAAUAUUGGACAAUGGGCGAAAGCCUGAUCCAGCAAUGCCGCGUGAGUGAUGAAGGCCUUAGGGUUGUAAAGCUCUUUUACCCGGGAUGAUAAUGACAGUACCGGGAGAAUAAGCUCCGGCUAACUCCGUGCCAGCCGCCGCGGUAA
rnacentral:rRNA from 1 species